GAUGAACGCUGGCGGCGUGCCUAAUACAUGCAAGUCGAGCGAACGGACGAGAAGCUUGCUUUUCUGAUGUUAGCGGCGGACGGGUGAGUAACACGUGGAUAACCUACCUAUAAGACUGGGAUAACUUCGGGAAACCGGAGCUAAUACCGGAUAAUAUUUUGAAACGCAUGGUUCAAAAGUGAAAGACGGUCUUGCUGUCACUUAUAGAUGGAUCCGCGCUGCAUUAGCUAGUUGGUAAGGUAACGGCUUACCAAGGCAACGAUGCAUAGCCGACCUGAGAGGGUGAUCGGCCACACUGGAACUGAGACACGGUCCAGACUCCUACGGGAGGCAGCAGUAGGGAAUCUUCCGCAAUGGGCGAAAGCCUGACGGAGCAACGCCGCGUGAGUGAUGAAGGUCCUCGGAUCGUAAAACUCUGUUAUUAGGGAAGAACAUAUGUGUAAGUAACUGUGCACAUCUUGACGGUACCUAAUCAGAAAGCCACGGCUAACUACGUG
rnacentral:rRNA from 1 species